UACCUUUUAGUUUAUUAAUAAAAUACUGUUUUUGUAAUGCAGAGAAAAUUAGAAUUAAGGGUAG
rnacentral:tRNA from 1 species